rnacentral:sRNA from 1 species
AAAGAUUAGCCCUACCCAGAGGCACCUGCUUGCCCCAAGGGAUGCUGGGAGGCCUGGAUGGUAAUUGAGGGCCUCUUGGAAGAAGUGGCACUGAGGAUAUGGAUGGGGCCCCCUGCAGAUGAGUCCAACACCAUCCACUUGAAGGUGAUUGAGCAGCGGCCAGACCCUCCGGUGGCCCAGGAGUAUGAUGUACCUGUCUUUACCAAAGACAAGGAGGAUUUCUUCAAUUCACAGUGGGACCUCACUACACAACAAAUCCUGCCCUACAUUGAUGGGUUCCGCCACGUCCAGAAGAUUUCAGCAGAGGCAGAUGUGGAGCUCAACCUGGUGCGCAUUGCUAUCCAGAACCUGCUGUGAGUGGGCCUACAGUCAUACCCAUUACAAGGUCACCAGCCAGGGAAGACCUCAGGGGCCCUGGGUGUGAGGGUUGGGAAGGCAUGGUCCUCAGAAGCUGAGCACAACUCUCUCUCUCAGGUACUAUGGCGUUGUGACACUGGUGUCCAUCCUCCAGGUAGGUGAGUUGGGUUUGGUUAAGUGGAGAGUGGACCAUGUGGCUGGACCAGACCAGGGCUGUGUCAGCUUCCCAAGCCCCUCACUCAGGCCCCUAUGCCUUCUGCUACCCUCUAGUACUCCAAUGUAUACUGCCCAACGCCCAAGGUCCAGGACCUGGUAGAUGACAAGUCCCUGCAGGAGGCAUGUCUAUCCUACGUGACCAAGCAAGGUAGUGGUGGGCUCUGAGGGAAGCCAUCUUGGGGAGGGCAGAGCCACAUGGUGAGCUGAUCCCU